AUUGAACGCUGGCGGCAGGCCUAACACAUGCAAGUCGAGCGGAAGCAGGGAGCUUGCUCCUGGAUUCAGCGGCGGAGGGGUGAGCAAUGCCGAGGAAUCUGCCUGUCAGCGUGGUAUAACGGCCGGAAACGGGCGCAAAUACGGCAUAAGUCCUGAGGGCGAAAGGGGGGGAGCUUGGGACCUCACGCCCUCAGGUGAUCCUAUGUCGGAUUAGCUAGUUGGCGGGGUAAAGGCCUACCAAGGCGACGAUCCGUAACUGGUCUGAGAGGAUGAUCAGUCACACUGGAACUGAGACACGGUCCAGACUCCUACGGGAGGCAGCAGUGGGGAAUAUUGGACAAUGGGCGCAAGCCUGAUCCAGCCAUGCCGCGUGUGUGAAGAAGGUCUUCGGGUUGUAAAGCCCUUUUGGUUGGGAGGAAGGGCAGUAAGUUAAUACCUUGCUGUUUUGACGGUACCCACAGAAUAAGCACCGGCUAACUUCGUG
rnacentral:rRNA from 1 species